GUGCCUGACAGUUGUUUUUAGUAGAGCUCAGUCAUGAACUUUACUCAACCGAGUUCAAUCGAAAACGGUGACACAAAUAAGACCCAGUCAACCAAACGAAUAUGAGAAAUGAUAAAAAUUCACUUUACCGGCAAGAGAAAUCGACUUCGUAUAACUCAUCAAGCUUCAUGAUAUGAUUUAAAGCAAGAGAAUAAAGAAAAUCAAUCAAAAAGUAUAAUGGCAUAUUAGUGCAUUGCUAUAGUAACAGGUGACGCUUUUUGUGGUUUCUAUGGUUACUUGAACGCGCAGUUUUGCGGUAAAAAUACACCUUAUGACGAUCUUUAGUUUAGCAAGAAGUGAUUUUGAGGACGGUAUAUGCAAUGAUUCAUUCCUCUAAUUUAUAAUUUUAUAUGAUUACAGCUGUGUGUAUCAGAAACUUACAGCAUUCUGACACUAAGAGGAAGUUCCUUUUAGCAAAUAUAUUAUUUCUGGUCUGAGAAUGAUGGAUCCUUCUUUAGAUAGAUUGAUUCCGUCAGCAUUCUUCCGUUCCGCUUUCAUCUAUUAAUCUGCAUUUGUAACAGAUCAGUUCAAAUUUCCCCAAUAAGAAAAAGCCACUGAUUGAAAAUGUUUCCUAUUAAUUAUCAAAGUAAAUCCUUUAGAUAAAUAUAUAUCAUGGCCUAAGACUGAUUUAAUUCCAAUUCAUGUAAUAAUAAAGCCAUAUUCUAUGUGCGAGAUCACUUGUAUUCAGGAUAAUACAAAACCUCAACGUCUUGUAUGGAGUAACUUCAUUUAACUGCGGCAGGCCAAGCCAGGUUAUUCGAAGCUAGAUUAACGAAUAUUAUGAGAUUGUUUAGAAGAGUGACCAGUACCGAAUUUAUCCUCUGGACUGAUAAGGAUUUAUAAAUGACCCUUUCAGUUAGCCCAGGAUUAGGACUAAUCGGGCUUCAUGAAUUUACUGAACAGCUUCACAAUGAACACGUUUCUUCUGAGUUCUGUUAAUGAUUAUUCCAUAGAAUAGAAAGCCUUGGUGUGUGUUUAGCUGUUCAUUGAGUAGACAAUAACUGGCCAAGAGACACUAUUCACGUUUUCAUAGUUUUUGAACUGAAGAAUCUAAUCGUGAGAUUUAUAGGAUAGGAUACGAUUAGAUAAAAAAGAUGUAGCAUCGAAAGGUUGUACUGCCAGUUAUGUUCCUUGAUGUGAUAAAAAUCACCAGUUCACAGAGGCCAGAACAAAAACGUCAUUCAAUUCCACGUGCAAACAAGCUAAGGCUGUUUUCGAAACACACUGCAUGAGUAAUGAGAAGCUUCUAGUCCAGUCAUAUGAACUUUUUUAUGCUUUUUCUCGAAUGUGUCCAACUCGUGGCUUUUUUCAAUAUAUGUCCUAUAGUAAAAGCAACAAAACCACAGAGCAAUUUGUCUUCAUAACAAAUAUGAUCGCCCAGUCUAAAGCUAUCUGAUCUCCCUAGGAGACAUCUUAGUUCUUUUUUUGAGGGUUUUGUGAUAAGACGCAAGCUUUCUUAGCGGUCAUAAACCCCACGCGAUAACCUGUAGCUAGAAUGUUUGAUAUCUUUAGUUUUUUUAGCAUCUCCCAUUUCUGUCAGUUCUUCUCGAUAAAGAGACUUCAUGACAAAUACAUUAAUUAGUGGAGUUACACAUAUCCUUCCAAAACAUACAAAGAAAAUGCCGAAAAAAGGACAAAAUCGUACAAUGCACCUAUCAAUGUAGGCUUUUCAAUUUAUUUUUGGUCACUGAGUGGCUAGAGCCACCAUAUUGUUCCAGUCCAGCCAUGCAGUACUACCUUGCUCUAAAUGAAUCUUUCAAUAAUGAUAUUUGUAAUAUUUAUCAAAAUAACAUAAGAAGAUAGAUUUGCGCGAUAAUUAUUUGCUUUUGACUCAACAGUAGAAUGCAAUAGAGUGGUAUAUYAACGCGUGAUCUUUUUAUAUUCCACACUUCCUUACCAUUUACGUUGCAGGACAUCGUAAUCUAAACCCGUGAAAUUCUCUUCAUGUCGAAUCAAUCAUCUCAUGCAGAACCGUUUGCCUACUUUCUCGAUUUGGCUUAGAGUGUAGACAUUAAACCCGUGAAACAAAAGGUGUGAUAAUAUCUCCUCAGAACAACCUACACACGUGAAACUCUGAUUUAAAUAAAAACGUCAAUAUGUUAUUUGUUUUUUGCCUCUUGUAAUUCUAGACAACAAACUACAUACCUGCUUAAUUGCAAGCGUUUUUAAAACAAGAAAAGAAAGCGGCUCUUAGAUCGCGCUAAAAGAGAAUAAUAAUUGUCAAACACCAAUGAAUUUAUUAUAAGAACUYGUUGAACUUUAUUGGAAAGUAAUCAAGCGAGCAGGUUUUUGUAGUUCUUUCUCAAUAUCUGACCAUGUGCCACCAGCUUCACCACGCAUCUCUAAGAGAGGAAAUCUUAGACAAUAGCCGUAGAUAAUAUUGAUAACUCGUGCCAAACACGAUAUAGCUUUGGGGCGCAUGCAGAUGCGCAAAAGUUUAAGCGAAAUGAUUGUGUCAAGCCAUCGAGGUGUCUGGGCCUCAGUUUGGUUGCAUUCGUAACUGAAACCGAGUUUUAAAAAAGCGAUACUUAUCUUAACAACUUUUGUUUUACCACGGGCGGAAUAAGCAAGAAUUUCAAAUUAAUAUAACGCACUGGUUUUACCUGAUCUACAAAGCCAAACAUGAUAAAAGGAAGAUAUUAAAAAAUAAGGCCCCACCUGCUUUAGCGAGUUCACUUGCCCCCCCCCCCUGUCGCUGUUACUGCGUGGUCAAUAUCAACUUAUAUACUAACCACAUGGCUGAUUGCUAGUCAAUUCAAGCUUUGAAUGCUGUCAAUUUAAUACUGAGAAAUGUUUGGUUGACAAAUUUUUAAAUAUACAAUGAUAAGCAAAACAGUAUACGAUAGGAAUCUAUAAAGUGGUUGGCAACUUGUGAAAAUUAAAGAGAAAGAAAUUAAAUAAAAGUAAAACUGGGCAACAUAACAACGUAAACGGAUGAAAACUGAUAAGAAUCAAGAAUUCUUCAUUGCUUUUUUAUCUUUGUCCUCGGCUUUCUUCGAAGUGUCGUUAAUCAAAUUUUUGGAUGUGUGGGUUAAACGUCAAUCAGAAUGUGGCCAUCUGAGGCCAUCUAGCACUAGUAGCCUGCCUGCCUGCUGCACACCAUCCAUUUUGACAGACGUGUGUUUUCUCUCAAAAACAACAGUCUCUAGUCAGGCUUAUCGAUAGAUGACAGAGAUAGAAUUGAGGGCGUCUCUAAUGUGUACAAUAUAGAGUGCACAGAAAGAUUGCCGUGACUGAACAGAACGAGUUUACUGAACCAACGGACGACAAAUCACCAUAUGUAUUCUUUCUAGCCAGGAUUUCACGCGCCGCCAUUAUUCAAUCUCUAAAUAUGCAAUGUUUAAAUGUGCGACCAAACAUUUUUGACUGGUAAAAACACUAUGUCAUUACAGCAUAUUCUUGCAACCAUGGCAACCCAAUUGAUGCCAUUGAUGAGUACCUGCAUGCUAUUUCUAUUUAUGUAUUGUAUUUGAGGACAAACAUAUGAAACUCAUUCUGCCUUUUUCUCUGUCUUAUUAUUCAGGGCACAGCAUGGCUCUGGCAAAAAAAGUUAUUUCGCUUUGCUUCCUGUCUGCUAUCUCUUUGAAAGCGUACCAGCACGAUCAUAAAUUAUCGCAUAAAUUUUCAGAACACAUUUGACAGCGAGAUAUAGUACUUUCCAGCAUUGUUAAGGGAACAGAUAAACUACAACGGUGCCAAUGAUGAAUUCUAAAUGAGAAAGGCAUUUUGAAAAAAUGAUUAAUCGCACAAAUAAAAAUAAAAUGAUACUGUAAAGUGCUGGUAUUUUUUUUCUAUAUUUUUUUCAAAUAAACAAAUAAAUCAAUAAGAAUAAAAAUAAAAUAAGAUCUAUCUUUUUUUUUGCACCCAAGCUCCUCUUAGCUUUUUACACUAUAUAGAAGUGGCUAUUUAAACAGGGGAUUUACAUAAUCGAUCGUCCUGUUCCUGUGAUAAUGAAUAUUAUUGAGUUAAAAAUAUUAAAACAAAACGAAA